rnacentral:lncRNA from 1 species
CCGCCUCCUCUCGUCUCCGCCUCUUGCUCGUACACCUGCACGGAGGACACCCCGCGAUUGCACCAGAUCCCACUUCGAUUGACGACGGCGACCGCCUCGCUCUACGAGAUUCUGGAGGUUCCUCUCGGCGCGACGAGCCAGGACAUCAAAUCGGCGUACCGGAGACUGGCCAGGAUCUGCCAUCCAGACGUGGCGGGAACCGAUCGGACGACGUCGGCUGAUGAGUUCAUGAAGAUCCACGCGGCGUACUGUACGCUUUCCGAUCCUGAGAAACGAUCUGUCUACGAUCGGAGGAUGCUUCGCCGGAGCCGUCCUUUGACCGUCGGUAACUCGGGGAUGGGCAGUUACGUCGGCCGGAACUGGGAAACAGAUCAGUGCUGGUAGUGAGUUGACUCGGUGACCGAGUUGGCUCGCGUUAAGAGGAAAAAAAAGAUGAAUCGGUUGUGUAAAUAGGAAACGAUUAAUGUGGAGCUUGACGUUGUAAUUAAUAGUAGUCAUUUUAGCUAAUACGAACGAGGAUUAGUGUGCUAACAUAUGCUAUGCGACGCCGUUUGGUUCGUGUCGGUUCAAGUUCCCGGGAAGGGAGUCUUCCUUAGAUUUACCUUCGCCGGUUUGGUGACGGAGUGCGGAUGCUUUCAUAGAUCCGCGCUGCCGAUGAGAAACCCGAAGCUUUUGGGUCAAGGUUACUAUUGUUCGUUUAGUGCGAAGCUAGAAGUGGUUACUGUCUAGGUGGUUCUGGGUCAGGGCGGAGGAGUUCUCGUUUUGAUGAUGAAGCUCUCCGCCGAGGUGAAGUCGGUCAAGUCAACAAUUAGGUGGUUCUCGAUGCGCGCGUCUAGGGUUUUAAGCGGUUCAAAGGCGGAGGUGAUCUCGUCUUUCGAUUGAUCUCUUCCGCGUGUUGACAGUGCGGGUAGAACGAUUAUUUCUCUAGUGGUUGGAAGUUUGGUUGUGUCGGGGGAGAUCUCGAUGAUUUGAGAAAGACCUCCGACAUGAUGUAAAAGCAAGGAAAAUAGGUGGUUAGAAUGGUGAAAAAUUCCGGCGGAUAGUUAAAGUCGUUACGAGACUUAAGCCUCAGGCUAUACAUGACGGUGACAGGUCGAUGCAACACCGUCUCACGCAUUAUCUCUGUUUGAUCGAUCCGAAACUUUAUUUGGUUAUUUAGAAAGAAAAACAACUUUCUUAAAGUCUUUUUUUUAUAUAGUUUUUGUCCGGUAGCUAGGGAUUUGUCCCCCGUAUCUCCACCGUCUCGCUCACCUCGUUUCCCGCCUCCUCUCGUCUCCGCCUCUUGCUCGUACACCUGCACGGAGGACACCCCGCGAUUGCACCAGAUCCCACUUCGAUUGACGACGGCGACCGCCUCGCUCUACGAGAUUCUGGAGGUUCCUCUCGGCGCGACGAGCCAGGACAUCAAAUCGGCGUACCGGAGACUGGCCAGGAUCUGCCAUCCAGACGUGGCGGGAACCGAUCGGACGACGUCGGCUGAUGAGUUCAUGAAGAUCCACGCC